rnacentral:rRNA from 1 species
AUUGAACGCUGGCGGCAGGCCUAACACAUGCAAGUCGAGCGAGCGGCGGACGGGUGAGUAAUGUCUGGGAAACUGCCUGAUGGCGGGGGAUAACUACGGGAAACGGUAGCUAAUACCGCAUACCAUCAGAUGUGCCCGGAUGGGAUUAGCUGGUCGGUGGGGUAACGGCCCACCUAGGCGACGAUCCCUAGCUGGUCUGAGAGGAUGACCAGCCACAGUGGAACUGAGACACGGUCCAGACUCCUACGGGCGGCAGAAGUGGGGAAUGUUGCACAAUGGGCGCAAGCCUGAUGCAGCCAUGCCGCGUGGGUGAAGAAGGCCUUCGGGUUGUAAAGCACGUUCAGCGGGGAGGCGUUACCCGCAGAAGAAGCACCGGCUAACUCCGUGCCAGCAGCCGCGGUAAUUC